rnacentral:rRNA from 1 species
UACGUAGGGUGCAAGCGUUGUCCGGAAUUAUUGGGCGUAAAGAGCGUGUAGGCGCCAGACAGGUCCGUUGUGAAAACUCGAGGCUCAACCUCGAGACGUCGAUGGAAACCGUCUGGCUAGAGUCCGGAAGAGGAGAGUGGAAUUCCUGGUGUAGCGGUGAAAUGCGCAGAUAUCAGGAGGAACACCGUAGUGGCGAAAGGGCAGGGCUCUCGGUCGGAAC